UUCAACAAUAAAAUUUUAGACAACUGAAAGCAAUCCUUUUGUACAAUUUGUUUAAUGAAUUUGCAUAAGUUUGAAUAUCGCGAUACACAGACAAGCACACCAAAAAAGCCAAAGAGACCAAAACAAAACUUAAUUGCUCAUAGGCCUUGAUAUUCCAUAGUUUUACAUGUACAGAAGGUGGUUAGUCUGAGCUAUGCUAACAUUUACUUGCACAAGAUGCCUAAAAAACUUGGGGCAAAAACACUACCGGGUAUACAAAGAGGGCAGGAUCUCAGACCCUGUGAUCCUUUAACGUGCCCAUAAAACUGGUUAGCCCCGGACUACAAAAGAUUGAGCUAUAGAUACAACAUUACUUCUACAAAUGAAAAAAUUGAUGAGAAAGAGAUACAUCUACACUACUACUCCUCUUUCACGUCUAGUGAAUGCAGUUCAGCUAAAAGACGAUCAUAUUCAUGCCGGGCUUCCUCUAUUUUACUUCUAAGCUGUGUCACCUGCACAAUCAUAACCACUUCUCUUAGAUCAGAGAUACAAAACUUCAACCGUACAAUUUAUCGAUGAAGGUUUGUGUAUCUUCUUUUCUAUGUCGUUACUUUAGGGGUGGAUAAUUUGGAAUAAUUCAUUUUAAUGCAGAAUCCGAAGAAUUCCAGUACUCAAUAAAUCUUCGAAUACAACUCAACCAACAGUACACUGUACAAAAGCUGUUCUCUAUGAAUUAGGCAACAGGAAAAUCAAAGUAAUUAACCAAACAUUACCUUUAAAUUAAGUUCUUCCUCUCUCUUUUCAAAUUCCAAACAACUGCAGGGAAAAUAAUACAAAUAAGAUAUAUAGCAACCAUUUCUAAUUCUAAAUAGGAGAAAUAAACUGAGUCGGGUAAGUCCUCUGAAAUCAAAAAAAGAAAAUGAAACCAAUCCAACUAGUAAAACAAUAGUAUUCUCUACAAUCAAGAAUUAUCAGACUGGCAUUAAUUAGAAAUAUACUCACUUCGCAUGUAGUUUAUUAUUUUCUUGCAUCAAUGUUAUAGUCUCUGGGUUAACGACCUGGUCUGCAGGAGUUGUGGUGAUCUACAUAAAAUGCAAGGGUUAAGUGGCAUUAAAUAUCUUACAGUGAACUAGAUUGCAAGAAUCAAAAGUACAGGGAAAUCAAGUAAUUUAAAAUGGGCAGUUUAUCUCUAGAGUACUGAGGAAAACAUAAUAUACACCAAACAGACAGUAAAUUGGAAAAGAUAUAGGUAUCAAUAGUACAACUUGGUACUAUAAAGCUCCGACUAUGGUGGGGCCCAAAAUAGGACAGAGACACUGUGGGUCUAUGUCUCUAUGAUAAAUAGUCUUUCGUUGCACUUUCAAUCCUGUUCGCCUGCCUUCUACAAAUGUUUAUCAAUAGCGAUAACAGAAUUGAACAGAAACUAAAUGUCAUGCUGAGUUGUCACAUAAAUUUGCUCUAUCUCAUUGUUAUACCAAUGAAGAACUAAGGAUCCAUUUGGCUUGAGAAAACACUAUUUGCUUAUAUUUUUAAUCGGCAAAAUUGCUCAUGCAGUCUUUUAAUCUGUUGCACGGACACUUCUGAUUGAAGGCGUGUCCCGGUGUCCGACAUGUAUCAAGUCCGACACCGAUACUCGUGAUUAAUUGAAUUAUGUCAUUUCUCAAUUUAUCUGUGUUGACAUGUUCGUGUCCAGUGUCUGUGUCCGUGCUUCAUUU
rnacentral:lncRNA from 1 species